GAAGGAAAAAAAAAAAAAAAGCUGCUUUCCCUUUAAACAGCACAAAGGAUAGGAAAAACUACUGCAUUACUCCAAAUUAUUUGCAGCUUUGGUGUUGCCAACAUAGAACAGUUGCAAUUCAAGAAUAUGUUUUGAAUUAUCAUAGAUCAGUUUUUACAAAUCAGCACUCUUUGUAACAGCUUUCAAAGAAUAAAAGAAUACAGCCGUGGGAAUUCAUAUUUAUGGCUGAUGAGCUAGCAAGGUGAGCACAUCCAGGGGCUUAGACACACAAACAGGAUACCACAGGAUAUCAAGUUUCUGCUGAGCUGCAAGAGUUGCCUGUGUGUUCACUGCUCCCCCACAGCAAAUGCAAGCUGUCAAGGAGGAGAAGAAGAAAGAAGUAAAUCAGCUUCACAGAACAAGUUUUCCAACCCUAAGUUUUAAUGAAGUUUCUAUAUCCUGGCUUUUUAUGGUUUAUGUUCCAAGCCUAUCAUUAUUCAAGGGUCUGAAUUGUUCUUUAUUUUUUUAACUCCUUUGCUUUUUAAAGUGAAAAGAAGAGAGUCAAAAGUCUUUAAUGGAAAGUUCUCCAACG
ensembl:lncRNA